GUUUUCAGCCAUCUUGGAUUAAAAAAAGUCGUUAUUUUCAAAAAUUCAAAAAAAAAGACCCCCACCGCCAACGGCCAAACUCUCAGCUUCUUCCGACCUUUUCAACGAAUAUCAGUCUUGAUGAAUCUUCUGUGAUUCCAAUGCACGAGCUGAAAACUAUUCAGUUAUCCUCCUGAAGAGCUUCUAGAAGACCACCUCUCAACUUGUGAACAAACUGCAUUUGAAAAGAUCCCAGACAACUGCAUGUGUUUAGUAGCACUGACUUGUCUUUGCCAAGUUAUGGAGGAUCCAGAUAUAUGUCUGAAUACAGAUAAAUAAGGACUGAUUGGAGAAUGUCAAGUGUGAUUGGCACAGAGAUAUCUGUCUAAGCGCCCUGAACACUGUUGAGAAUGCUAGCGUAGGACUGGACUGGAUGCUGCAUUCACUGGCAGAGUAAUGUGCAAAUCAGCAAAGGUAUAAGUCACCAAAGACCUUGAAACUAUGUACAAUGAUCUAGUGAUCUCUGUGGUGUGGAUUUCCUCUUUCCAAUGUCAGCUUGAUUCUGGUGCCAUUGAGGUUAUCUCCAGGUGUCCAGUAAGUGCAACGUCUUCAAAUAAGUAAGCAACCAUCACAUUGAGGUAUUCACCCAGACAGCAAACCAGGAACUAAAAUUCACUGGAUCUAUUUACCUAACUUUGAAUUUUACAGGCAGCAAAAUAAAUUUACAGGGACAUAUACAUGGGAUUAAGGUAAAAACAAAAAUUUUGAAAUAGAAUCAAAUUUUAAAAUGUGUGGAAUUUUAAAUCAUAAUAAAGAAAUUUGAUGGACAACAUACAUGAAAUUUAUUAUUCCGAGCCAGUGUUCCUUAUUAGAAGUAAGAACUUAGUAUGCUGUUAAAACCCAAUGUUUUCUUAUUCAACAAAUUGUAACAUUUUCAAAGGAUUUGACAGUGGCUCUAAGGAAGUCAGUGAGUUCUUCAAAAAUUCUAAUUAAUUAUUUUCGGGCAGCGGGAAGUGGGGUGGCUUCAGUAACACACGCAUGGGUGAAGACCAGAAGAACUGACAGCAACUUCACAAUUUCCACAAGUGCAUACUGCAGAUGUUGCUGUCAAUUCUGGAGGAAUAAUGCUGACUGUUUCACCUCAGAAUUCAAGGCCUUUACUUCCUGGAUUAUCAAUUUGGAGGCCUGAACUAAUGAAUUGGAAGGAUGAAUUCAAAUCCAAUGUUGUAGCAGAGGAAUUUAAAUUCAAUUGUUUGAAUUAAUCUUGCAUUUUAAAAAAAAAACUAGUAUCAGUAAUACUGACCAUGUAACAACUGUAUUUUAGUAAAACCCUGUCUGAUUUAUUAAUGUCCUCUUUAAGCAACAAAACCUGCUAUCCUUCCCAAUCUGACUUGUAUGUAAUUCUGUGUCAAAUCAAGAGAAAAACUGAAGCUUGUAAACAUUUUUAUCCAAAUGAAUACAAUGUUUUGAUUCA